UGCCUCAUACCCAGCAGAGAGAUGAAAAGCAGAAAUAGUGACAGAGUUCAGAGAAGCGCAUGUAAGAUUCAUAGCAACAUUAUCCAAUCGUAUUUGACGUUUCAGAGUUCUCUUUUUAUGUAACUUAUACAGUUCUUAAAGACGAGGUUUCUGUGCUGCCAAGUUUCUUUAUAGCUGGGAAUUUCAUUUUGCUAGAUCAGCAUGGUUGAGUAGUUGAAUAUUGCCAAAGCAGUUGUGUUGCUGAGUCUCUUCAUUUUGCAACCCUACUAAGGGCAAAAAGGUAUUUGUUCAGAAGUGUUCCCAGUGACACACAGUGGAAAAUGGAGGGAACACACAAGACUGGCCCCAACCUACAUGGUUUGUUUGUUGGCCAGGCUGAAGGCUUCUCCUACACAGAGGCAAACAAAAACAAAGGCAUCACCUGGUGUGAGGAUACACUGAUGGAAUACCUGGAGAAUCCAAAGAAGUAAAUUCCAGGAACAAAGAUGCUAUUCACUGGUAUCAAGAAGAAGUCUGAGAGACAAGACCUGAUUGCUUACCUCAAAGAAUCUACAUCUGCAUAACAUCAUGCAUCAUGGCUUUGCUUUAUUUAUUCCACAUUCCUUCUACACUAAAUAUAAUUAUUUCUAUUUUGUAUAUACACUUUAUCUUCUAAUGACUGUUUAGGGUUUGUUUAGAAAGGGUUUUAGAUUUCUAGUCAUGAUUAUAUUAUUAUAUGGAAUAGUUGGGCUGGGGCCUGCAGGGAUAUAUAUAUAUAUAUAUAUAUAUAUAUAAUUGGUUUAUCUAAAGGAUGAGUGUCCUGGAUUUAUAUGCUGUAUAUUAUUUAAUUAAUAACAAACCAUACAAAAAAAAAACAUUAUUACAGAACCUGUCAAAUCUGAAAUGUAACCAUGACUGCAGUGGUGGCAUUUGUCCCACAGUGGCUCCAUGCAAAGCUUGAUUCAGGGGAACCUAUUACACGUUAAUACCAGUAAUACUGCACUAUUGUAACAGGGUUAAGCUUUCUUUGCACUUUAUUUUGUAUUUAUAAUGUUUCAUUGGAUGAUAUGGUAGAGUUGUACAACCAUUCUUUAAGUGACACUUUGGACUAUUUUGCACCAGAAAAAACCUGUCUAUGUGUCUUUCUCCUGUUCUUCCCCGUGGUUCACUGAGGAUUUACAUAGAAUGAAAGCACCAGGGUGUAGACUUGAACGUCUGUGGAAGAAGAAGGUCUAACUGCUCAUUUACAGUCCUACAAGCAGCAUCAAUUACCUUACGGUACUGCCUUGAAAUUAGCUAUGUCUUUGCAUUACUCUGGCCUUAUUGAAGGAGGUAGUGGUAAUACUAGGCUGUUAUUCUCUACUAUUAAUCCUAUGCUAAAGCCAGCAUUCAUGUCCGCACUACCGUAUCUGUUGAUUCUCCUGCCUACACUGGGACAGUUUUAACUGGCUUUGUAGAGGUUACCUCGACAGGUCUAUCUCAGCUAGUUUGCCAAAAUGAAUUCCACUAGUAGUUCUUCAGAUCCUAUUCCCACCUCUUUACUCAAAUUAUGUUUUCCAUCCUUAUGCUCCUUUGUAACUAGUUUAAUAAAUGAAUCAUUGAGAUCUGGUGUUGUUCCUUCACCUCUCAAACUGGCCGCUGUUACUCCAUUAUUGAAGAAAACAAAUCUUGACCCUGAAGCUUUAUGUAAUUACAGGCCAAUCUCAAAUCUACCUUUUCUGGCCAAAAUUUUGGAACUGGUGGUAGUGCCUCAGCUUCAGUCCCAUUUAGUGUUAAGUCAGCUUCAUGAACCUUUCCAAUCCGGUUUUAGAUCUGCACACAGCACAGAAACUGCCCUAGUUAAGGUAGUAAAUGAUUUGUUGAUGGCUGCAGUCUCAGGCUCCCCAUCAGUUCUUGUUUUGUUGGAUCUAAGUGUGGCCUGUCGAACAGAAAGCAGUGUGUCACCUUAGGCAGGUUAAAGUCUGACAUUACCUUUGUUACAUCUGGUGUUCCUCAGGGUUCUGUCCUGGGACCUCUUCUAUUUAAUGUUAACAUGCUCCCACCAAGUCAGAUAAUCAGGCAGUAUGGCAUUCAAUUUCAUUGCUAUGCUGAUGAUACACAAAUCUGUUUUCAGACUAAACCAGAUGUUUCUGUACUCAAUAACUGUCUGACUGAUAUAAAAACAUGGAUGUAGCAACAUUUCUUGAAGUUAAACUGUAGCAAAACAGAUGUCAUGUUAUUGGGUUCUUCACAUCAGGUCAGGAAAGCUGGCAAUUUAGGGUUGGUUAUUAUUGGGAAUGAGGCUCACGUUAAGAAUAUGUGCAACGUGUCAAUUUUUCACUUAUGGAAUAUUGCCCACUUUAGGUCAACCUUGACUUUUCCUGAUGUGGAGAAACUAAUUCAUGCCUUUAUUACAUCAAGGUUGAACUGUUGUAAUGCUUUGCUUGUUGAUGUUUCUUUAAAAUCAAUUGAUCGGUUGCAGUUUGUGCAAAAUAGUGCUGCACGGCUUUUAUCAAGAUCCAGGAAGCAUGAGCAUUUAUUGCCAAUCCUGGCAUCUUGACGGUGACAUUUAUGGCUUUGCAUGGCCUUGGCCCAUCGUAUGUCAGGGACAUGCUUAACUUCUAUUUGCCACAGUGGAACCUGUGGUCUGCUAAUGACUCUAAUCUACUUGUGCCGAAGACAAGGCUGUGUAUUUUGGGUGACGGGGCUUUUUGCUUGAUGGCCCCCUGCCUUUAGAACAAUCUGCCUGGACACUUGAAGGCCUGUGAGUCUAUUGAGGCUUUUAAAUCUGGACUCGAGACAUAUUUUUAUUAAUUGUUUUUUUCGUAAUUGUGCUUAUUGUUUUACAUGGAUUUCUCUAUUUUAAUUUUUUUUUCUUCCUCCGUUGUUAAGCGCUUUGUGAUUUGUGCAAUGAA